GCCGCAGUAGUGCAAUGGUCAGCACGCACCCCGCGAAAGAGUGAGACGCGGGUUCGACUCCCAUCCGUGGUU